UCUGAAUAUGGGGGGACCAUCCUCCAAGGCUAAAUACUACUGACUGACCGAUAGUGAACCAGUACCGUGAGGGAAAGGCGAAAAGAACCCCUGUGAGGGGAGUGAAAUAGAACCUGAAACCGUGUACGUACAAGCAGUAGGAGCAGGCUUUGUCCUGUGACUGCGUACCUUUUGUAUAAUGGGUCAGCGACUUAUAUUCAGUGGCAAGGUUAACCAUCUAGGGGAGCCGUAGGGAAACCGAGUCUUAACUGGGCGUUCAGUCUCUGGAUAUAGACCCGAAACCAGGUGAUCUAGCCAUGGGCAGGUUGAAGGUUGAGUAACAUCAACUGGAGGACCGAACCGACUAAUGUUGAAAAAUUAGCGGAUGACUUGUGGCUAGGGGUGAAAGGCCAAUCAAACCUGGAGAUAGCUGGUUCUCCCCGAAAGCUAUUUAGGUAGCGCCUCGGACGAAUACUACUGGGGGUAGAGCACUGUUAAGGCUAGGGGGUCAUCCCGACUUACCAACCCUUUGCAAACUCCGAAUACCAGUAAGUACUAUCCGGGAGACACACGGCGGGUGCUAACGUCCGUCGUGGAGAGGGAAACAACCCAGACCGCCAGCUAAGGUCCCAAAUUACUACUAAGUGGGAAACGAUGUGGGAAGGCUCAGACAGCCAGGAUGUUGGCUUAGAAGCAGCCAUCAUUUAAAGAAAGCGUAAUAGCUCACUGGUCGAGUCGGCCUGCGCGGAAGAUGUAACGGGGCUAAGUAGUAAACCGAAGCUGCGGCAAUAUACUUUUGUAUAUUGGGUAGGGGAGCGUUCUGUAAGCGGUUGAAGGUGUGUGGUAACGCAUGCUGGACGUAUCAGAAGUGCGAAUGCUGACAUGAGUAACGAUAAAGGGGGUGAAAAACCUCCUCGCCGGAAGACCAAGGGUUCCUGUCCAACGUUAAUCGGGGCAGGGUAAGUCGACCCCUAAGGCGAGGCCGAAAGGCGUAGUCGAUGGGAAACGGGUUAAUAUUCCCGUACUUCUUACAAUUGCGAUGGGGGGACGGAGAAGGCUAGGUGGGCCUGGCGACGGUUGUCCAGGUUCAAGUGCGUAGGCUUAAGAGUUAGGUAAAUCCGGCUCUUUUUAAGGCUGAGACACGACGUCGAGCAUCUACGGAUGUGAAGUCAUUGAUGCCAUGCUUCCAGGAAAAGCCUCUAAGCUUCAGAUUGUAAGGAAUCGUACCCCAAACCGACACAGGUGGUCGGGUAGAGAAUACCAAGGCGCUUGAGAGAACUCGGGUGAAGGAACUAGGCAAAAUGGUACCGUAACUUCGGGAGAAGGUACGCUCUCGACGGUGAAGUCCCUCGCGGAUGGAGCUAUUGAGAGUCGCAGAUACCAGGUGGCUGCAACUGUUUAUUAAAAACACAGCACUGUGCAAAAUCGUAAGAUGACGUAUACGGUGUGACGCCUGCCCGGUGCCGGAAGGUUAAUUGAUGGGGUUAGACUUCGGUCGAAGCUCUUGAUCGAAGCCCCGGUAAACGGCGGCCGUAACUAUAACGGUCCUAAGGUAGCGAAAUUCCUUGUCGGGUAAGUUCCGACCUGCACGAAUGGCGUAAUGAUGGCCACGCUGUCUCCACCCGAGACUCAGUGAAAUUGAAAUCGCUGUGAAGAUGCAGUGUACCCGCGGCUAGACGGAAAGACCCCGUGAACCUUUACUACAGCUUGGCACUGAACAUUGACCCUACAUGUGUAGGAUAGGUGGGAGGCUUUGAAGCACGUACGCCAGUAUGUGUGGAGCCGUCCUUGAAAUACCACCCUUGUAGUGUUGAUGUUCUAACGUCGACCCCUUAUCGGGGUUGCGGACAGUGCCUGGUGGGUAGUUUGACUGGGGCGGUCUCCUCCCAAAGAGUAACGGAGGAGCACGAAGGUGGGCUAAUCACGGUUGGACAUCGUGAGGUUAGUGCAAUGGCAUAAGCCCGCUUGACUGCGAGAAUGACAAUUCGAGCAGGUGCGAAAGCAGGUCAUAGUGAUCCGGUGGUUCUGAAUGGAAGGGCCAUCGCUCAACGGAUAAAAGGUACUCCGGGGAUAACAGGCUGAUACCGCCCAAGAGUUCAUAUCGACGGCGGUGUUUGGCACCUCGAUGUCGGCUCAUCACAUCCUGGGGCUGAAGUCGGUCCCAAGGGUAUGGCUGUUCGCCAUUUAAAGUGGUACGCGAGCUGGGUUUAGAACGUCGUGAGACAGUUCGGUCCCUAUCUGCCGUGGGCGUUGGAAGAUUGAAGGGGGCUGCUCCUAGUACGAGAGGACCGGAGUGGACGAACCUCUGGUGUUCGGGUUGUGUCGCCAGACGCAUUGCCCGGUAGCUAAGUUCGGAAUCGAUAACCGCUGAAAGCAUCUAAGCGGGAAGCGAGCCCUGAGAUGAGUCUUCCCUGAUACUUUAAGUAUCCUAAAGGGUUGUCGGAGACUACGACGUUGAUAGGUCAGGUGUGUAAGUGCUGUGAGGCAUUGAGCUAACUGAUACUAAUUGCCCGUGAGGCUUAACCAU
rnacentral:rRNA from 1 species